AGUUGUGAAGGACCCCUCUCCUCCCUCUAAUGAUGCUUAAUUGAUGAUUAGUGGUGGUAUAAGAUGCAACUUUAUGGAUUAUAUUGUGAUUUUUGGUUGAAUUGGUGAAAUUUUAUAAUUAUUGGGGAUUUUUCUGUUUUAAUAUGAACAUGAUUGUGUGACUAUAUAUGAUGAUUGGAAAUGAUGUUUAAGGACUCUAUGAGGUGGAAAAAGUGGUUAAUUGCAAACAAUUUCUGUUUUGGAAGAAAUCUUGGAAAGUUAGGGUUUGAUGUUCUUCAUUCUGCCCG
rnacentral:lncRNA from 1 species